AGUAUAUAGAAAUAAAUCUUUCGUAUAACCCCAAUAAUAAGGUUUGGGGGUCUCUACCAAGAACCAAUAAUUCUUGAUUACGAAGAAGUUAUACAUAUUU
rnacentral:ncRNA from 1 species